rnacentral:rRNA from 1 species
UACAGAGGUGGCAAGCGUUUGUUCGGAAUUACUGGGCGUAAAGGGCGCGUAGGUGGCCUUUUGAGUCAGACGUGAAAUCCCCCCGGCUUAACCUGGGAACUGCGUCUGAUACUGGAAGGCUUGAGUUCGGGAGAGGGAUGUGGAAUUCCAGGUGUAGCGGUGAAAUGCGUAGAUAUCUGGAGGAACACCGGUGGCGAAGGCGGAUCUCUGGGCCUUACCUGACGCUGAGGCGCGAAAGCUAGGGGAGCAAACAGG